UCCUGCUUUUUACAGGCAGUCUCUAGAGAGUCCCUCCUUGCGGAAUGGUAACACUAGACAAGGGUUGCGCUCGUUGCGGGACUUAACCCAACAUCUCACGACACGAGCUGACGACAGCCAUGCACCACCUGUCUCUCGGUUCCCGAAGGCACCCCCGCAUCUCUGCGAGGUUCCGAGGAUGUCAAACCCAGGUAAGGUUUUUCGCGUAUCGUCGAAUUAAACCACAUGCUCCACUGCUUGUGCGGGUCCCCGUCAAUUUCUUUGAGUUUUAACCUUGCGGCCGUACUCCCCAGGCGGUUCACUUAACGCGUUAGCUGUGGCACAGAAGGGAUCGAUACCUCCUACACCUAGUGAACAUCGUUUACAGCGUGGACUAC
rnacentral:misc_RNA from 1 species